rnacentral:rRNA from 1 species
AUUGAACGCUAGCGGGAUGCUUUACACAUGCAAGUCGAACGCGUGGCGGACGGGUGUGUAAUAUAUCGGAACGUGUCCAGUAGCGGGGGAUAACUACUCGAAAGAGUGUAUUAUCCCGCAAUCUAUUGUCGCGGCAGAUAUGGGAUUAGCUAGGGGGGGGGGUAAAGGCUCACCAAGGCAACGAUCCGUAGCGGGUUUGAGAGGACGACCAGCCACACUGGGAAGGGUACACGGCCCAGACUCCUACGGGAGGCAGCAGUGGGGAAUAUUGGACAAUGGGGGAAACCCUGAUCCAGCCAUCCCGCGUGUAUGAGAAGGCCUUCGGGUUGUAAAGUACUUUUGGCAGAGAAGCGGUAUCUGCAGAAUAAGCACCGGCUAACGACGUGCCAGCAGCCGCGGUAAUAC